rnacentral:rRNA from 1 species
UACGAAGGGGGCUAGCGUUGUUCGGAUUUAUUGGGCGUAAAGGGCGUGUAGGCGGUUCGUUAAGUCUGAUGUGAAAGCCCCGGGCUCAACCCGGGAAGUGCAUUGGAAACUGGCGAACUUGAGUACGGGAGAGGGCAGUGGAAUUCCUAGUGUAGGAGUGAAAUCCGUAGAUAUUAGGAGGAACACCGGUGGCGAAGGCGGCUGCCUGGACCGAUACUGACGCUGAGACGCGAAAGCGUGGGGAGCAAACAGG